GGGUUUCAAUGGUUUCAAGGGUUUCAAGGGUUUCAAGGGUUUCAAUGGUUUCAAGGGUUUCAAGGGUUUCAAAGGUUUCAAUGGUUUCAAGGGUUUCAAGGGUUUCAAGGGUUUCAAUGGUUUCAAGGGUUUCAAGUGUUUCAAGGGUUUCAAUGGUUUCAAGGGUUUCAAGGGUUUCAAGGGUUUCAAUGGUUUCAAGGGUUUUAAUGGUUUCAAGGGUUUCAAGGGUUUCAAUGGUUUCAAGGGUUUCAAGGGUUUCAAAGGUUUCAAUGGUUUCAAGGGUUUCAAUGGUUUCAAUGGUUUCAAGGGUUUCAAGG